UGCACCGCUCGUGCAUGGGGGACCCUGCUUCUCCCUCCCUCGCUCUUCCCGAGCUCCCGUUUCCAAGCUCGGCGCUGCGGCCGGGGCUGGUUUUCAAUCCUGGCUGGCUUGAGCUGCUCCCAGCAGCGGCGCUGGCAAACACGGCUGGCUGCUGAGCCAAAACCGCCCACGGCGCGGAGUCGCCGGUCCCACCAGCGCCGGCGAGGGUCAUUGGCSUGGGACACCGACCCCGAUCCUCUGGCGCCCAGGAGGGUACGGCCUGGGUGCCGGGAGGAGGAGAGGGACCGGGAGGGCUGCGCUACACCGGCCCGGCCUGGGAACAGCGAAGGCUGCGCGCCGGGCUCGGCCGAUACGGCUCCUGCCGUGUGGCAGGACGCCAGCCCGCGGCGGGGGGGGGAUGCGGGGACCCGGGGGAGGGCGAAUAUCGCCGGCCACCUCCGUUCGGCAAACCUGCCUGCUCGUGGGAAACCUCCCCGGUUUCCCGAAACGGCCACCAGAAGCUGCCCGCUUUCCCUCCCGGGUUUUUUAAGGACAAACUCAGCUCUGAAGAUCCGCCGGGUACCUCUCUUCCCCCCUCCGCCUCCGGAGAGCCCCGCUGCUCUCGGAUGUCCCUGCAGACUGACGGAGUCAGUCCGUGGCUUUUGUUUGCUGUUCCUUUUYGGGCUGAAAUCCCGCGGCCCCGGAGGGAAGGAAGGAGGGAGGGAGGGCGGGAGGAGCGGUCCCCGCGGUGCCCUUCGCGCGCGUCGGCCAAGCGGCAUCUGCAGCGGGGGCGAGCGGCCGCUCCGGCGCGGGGGCCGGGAGCAGGCGAGCGAGCGCCGGCCGCAGCACGGGGCCAAGCAGGCGGCCCUGCCGGCGGCCCCGGCAUCUGCAGCGUGGUCCCACGUUGGCCUGGGGAACCCUUCGCUCUCCGGACACGCGGAUGCAAGUAAGGCCGGGGGUGCUGAGGCGGGGGGAAUCGCCGCGUGGCCGCUCGGGACGCGCUGCGGCAGCGGGUCGGUCUUGGCCACGCGGGCUGGCCUGCGGUCUGGAAAGGGCUCRCCGUGCCGGUGGGAGGCUCUUGGUCUCCCUGUCCUCUCUGCGUGGCCGGGGUGGAGCAAGCGUCUUCGGCCCUGA
rnacentral:lncRNA from 1 species